rnacentral:rRNA from 1 species
UACGUAGGGUGCGAGCGUUAAUCGGAAUUACUGGGCGUAAAGCGUGCGCAGGCGGUUCGUUAAGACAGGUGUGAAAUCCCCGGGCUCAACCUGGGAAUGGCGCUUGUGACUGGCGGGCUGGAGUACGGCAGAGGGAGGUGGAAUUCCCCGUGUAGCAGUGAAAUGCGUAGAGAUGUGGAGGAACACCGAUGGCGAAGGCAGCCUCCUGGGCCAGUACUGACGCUCAUGCACGAAAGCGUGGGGAGCAAACAGG